GACGAACGCUGGCGGCGUGCUUAACACAUGCAAGUCGAACGGAAAGGCCCCUUUGGGGGUACUCGAGUGGCGCACGGGUGAGUAACACGUGAGUAACCUGCCCUUGACUUCGGGAUAACUUCAGGAAACUGGGGCUAAUACCGGAUAGGAAUCCUUGCUGCAUGGUGGGGGUUGGAAAGCUUCGGCGGUUUUGGAUGGACUCGCGGCUUAUCAGCUUGUUGGUGGGGUAGUGGCUUACCAAGGCUUUGACGGGUAGCCGGCCUGAGAGAGCGACCGGCCACAUUGGGACUGAGAUACGGCCCAGACUCCUACGGGAGGCAGCAGGGGGGAAUAUUGCACAAUGGGCGGAAGCCGGAUGCAGCAACGCCGCGUGCGGGAUGACGGCCUUCGGGUUGUAAACCGCUUUCAGCAGGGGCGAAGCUUGUGGUGACGGUACCUGCAGAAGAAGCACCGGCUAACUACGUG
rnacentral:rRNA from 1 species